rnacentral:lncRNA from 1 species
AAGAAUUAGAAUAGUCCUAUGUAUAAGGUAUAAUAAGACUAAACCUUUUAACCCAGCAAUAGAAUUUUGGGUGGUGGCUAGACCUAAGAGGUUAAGAGAGUUAAGCGUGUUAGGGCUAGAGUAGUCCUAGAAUAGGUGAUCCCCUGGAAAGUAGGGCGUCAUAGUUGGUAUCAGAGUUAAUUACCAGUCAAAAAUAUAAAAUGAAUCUCGGCUGGCCAGAGUUAUACAGCUGGCAGAGCGAGACUUUCUGGCUAAUGAUUGUUGUGGGUAGAAUGUGACUCCCCACAAGGUCGGCUAAACCUAGCGAGACGAGUUUCACAUAGCCUGAUACUUGUUAGUGUGUCUGAGCCUGAUGAGGACGUCAGGGCUUAAAGGGAGGAAAGAAUGUGAGACCCCAAGAUUGAAAUAGUCUGAAAUAUAAGGUAUGAUAGGACUAAACGUCUUAACUUGCCUAUAGCAUUUUGGGCGGUGGCUACGUCUAAGAGGUUAAGAGAAUUAACCGUGUUAGGGCUAGAGUAGUCCUAGGAUGAGUGACCCUUGGGAAGUGGGGCAUCGUAACACCACUCACAACUGAGCUCAAUCAUGGCCAAACAAUAGUCAUAUGCGAUGAUCAAACAAAUCAUGAUAGUACUAUCUCAACGUCCCCAAUCAUAGUCAUAUGUCGUAUGUUCUACUAUUUGUCUAU